CUGAUAUUUUUCUUUCUCUUCCACUAGCCUCCACGUUUGUGCCCAUGCCUGAUGCCUGCCCAAUCUCCAUACCUGAAGUGGAGCUGCUCUAAAAUUUCCUCCAGUUCCCCGUGGAAGUCGGCCUCUCCCCAGCCCCGGCGGCCACUCCUUCCCACGCCGGCGUCCACCUUCCCUUCCUCUUCCUAUUUCUCUGUCGCUGUGGCCUCCCCAUCUGACGACGCGGGCUCCUCUUCCCGGCUGAUGUGCUGGUCAAACUGCGAGGUCGUGAGGGGCGUCUUUCCCCGGAGGUGGCGGUGGUAGCGCCUUCCCCGUCGUCCCGGCCGGCGACUAUGUCGUCUCGCCUCCAUCGUGGCGGCCCAGCCCCAGCGACGGUGGCUUCUCAGGAUCUCGGCGUCUCUUCUCCAGCAGCCUCAUCCCGAUGGCGCCGACCAUGGCAUGCUCGCACUCCAGGGCGACGCGGACAAGGCCCGAUGGCCCAUGGCCAUCUCGCACACAAGCGUCUCUGUGGCCGUCAUGAGUUUGAGGAGAAACAACGGGCACGUGCGCUGGUCCGUCUAGAAUGUCUGCUGCAAGUUGUCGCCCUGGUGGCCAUACGGCGUGACGGUGAGCCACCGCCGAGGCGCAUCUGCUGGUGCCGACCGCAGACAUGCCGCUGCGUCUGGACCUUCCUCCCCUACUGCGGUGCCGGGGGAGACGAAGUCCUCCAUCCACCGUGACCAAAUCCGGUGCAGGUUCUGUUUUUUUCCUCAAAUUGAUAUGGUGCUAGGUUAUUUGGCUGAUGGAAGGAAAUAGAUGAGAUUUCACUUGGUGUAAUUGCUGGAGAAGCAGUGUCAGUAUCCAAUCUAGGGAUGGAUGCAGGUUUUAGCUCAUUUAGCAACUGAUCUUCUCUCUGUCUCAUUUGGAAAUGAUUAUCAUCAAGAUGGCCACCUCUCACCGCGUGCGUCCGGCAGCAGCCAGUAUUUAUUCAGGCAUGUCACCUCCUGAAGCCCUGGACUCAACAUGGAUCGAUCUGGGCAGUAGUCUUUUUCAGAUCAGGUUCGGGAGCUUCUCCAAGACUUCCGAUUCCUAUAUACCAGAGUAGGAAGUAUGGUUUCUUUAUUAUGGACUUCUGCAACACAUAAUAAUGUUUUGUGGAGACUGCUGUUGUUACCUGUUAUGAAAUGGUUGUACAAAAAUCGUUUCACUCGCAACAUACUUCUCUCUGAGGUGAUGUUCUAAGGCCAGGGAUCGUCAGAGAAAUAGUUAGUGCUCGCUUUAAGAAAAUUAAAGAGAUGUUCUUCCGAAUUAAUUGCCCUCCAGGUAUGUUAUGAACCCCUUAGUAUUCUAUUUGUUAUUCUCUCACUUUCUUCACUCAGCGAAUCGCCAUACAAGAUACAUAACUUUGUUAGAAAUUGUUGAUGCCAUCUUUAAGAAAAACAGACAUUUAUUUUGUUCCCAUUACUUGAUGAUCUCAAGUAGGGAGUUGUGUUUCAUGGCACUGUAAUAUACCAUUUUUUUAUUAUACCUGUAUACUCUCCGCAAUAAAUUCCAAGUUGGUAGUUAAGAGUAAUUUUAUGUUUUGGUCUGACAAGUGACAAGUAACCAGCGAAACAAUGGCUUGAUAACAUUUUCUCAAAAAUCUAGGAGCGUAGAGAUUAAAUUUAGAAGUUCUGAUCUCAGGUAAGGUGAGUCAAAACUCACCCGUGCUGUGGGACCUGCUGACUUUAUUGGUUUCCCUGUAAGGUUCAGGUUUUUACUCUCAUCUGGCUGAACAAAUUGAAGAUGGAGCCUUAAGCAAGCCUCGAUACAGUUUUCCAGCAGUGACCACUUUUGAGCCACUGCAAUGAACUACCAGCCAAAUACCUAUCCCGUUGGGUAUCCCAUUAGAGAACAACGAGCCAGCAGCACAAGGCCGAGACGGAGACGUCGCCAGCUGACAGAGCCUCGGGUCCCCGCCGACAACCUUGAAGCAGCUGAAAGCGCAGAUGGAGACAGCGACACCGACUUCUUCGACGAGCAGUUGGAGCCUCAGGUCCUCUCCGACGAUCCUGCAGCAGCGGAAGGCAGGGACGUGACCACGACACUACACUAAUUUCUUCGUCGUCGAGAAGCACCAGACCACCUGCGACGAGCCUGCAGAUGGCGAAACGACUUCUUCGACGAGCAGCCAGAGUCUCAAAUCCCCUCCCACCAUCUUGGGGCAGCAGAAGACAGAGACAGUAAGCAUGGCGCUGUUUAUUUUCAUUCUCAUCGGCAAGAGGCUGAAGCACCAGGUUCCUACGCUGAGCCCGCAAGUUCGAUCUCAACUUCCACGCGGAGGCCCCUGCACCAAGCAAGAACACCAUCUUCGACAGCAAGCCGAGUCGCCAGCUCCCCUCCACCGACCCUGCAUAGCCUGCCUCGCCUUUCUGCUUAUUAAAUCAGUGAAAACCGUCUGGCUCUGCCAGUAAAAAGAUGAAUCGGUGGAGCCUAGCCUUCUCCAGGAAGAACAUGUACCGGCUCUGGCACCGGGGCAUAUAAAUCCGCUUAUGCCAUUCACCCAAGCAUACAGAGAUAGAUGGAAUGAAAGAAAGAAAAAGUAGCUCCGCAGCUCGCUCAGAAGAAGAAAGACCCGCCGCUAACGAUUUGGAAAUCCAGUAGAAAGAUGUAUAUGGCGAGAGAACUAACCUACUUUGCCACACUUCUCAAAGCAAACGAUCAUAUGUACAUUCCAAAAGUAAUUCGCACUAACUAUGUAUAUGCAUGGCAAAAGAUGAACACCACGGGCGCGGCGUGCCGCCGCGCCUAUGCAUCCUAGUCUAUCUAAUACUCUCCUAAGAAACUAGGUUGUUUGGAUGAUUAGAAUUAAGUGGUGGCACUUUUAAGUGACAACACAUAGUAUUGCCUUAAGUGAUGA